GAAAAAGUUCGCAGACAAUAAUUGCAAGCUUUAUUGGAUGAAGAUGAUACUCAAAUUCAACAAGAACUCGCGGAUCAAUUGAAUGUAACGCAGAAAGCCGUCUCCAUUCGUUUGAAAGCUAUGGGAAAGAUUCAGAAAGUGAGAAAAUGGGUUCCGCGUGAACUGAGCGAAAGAUAGCAAGAAAAUCGAAAAAGCACUUAUGAAAUGCUGCUCGACAGAUACAAAAGAAAGUCAUUUCUCCAUUGAAUCGUGACAGGUAAUGAAAAAUGGAUAUAUUUUGGGAAUCCUAAGCGUCGUAAAUCAUGAGUGAAUCCAGGCGAACCAUCGACAUCCACUGCAAGAUCAAAUCGUAUCUGUAUUUGGUGGGAUCAGAAGGGUGUAAUCUAUUAUGAGUUGCUAAAACCUGGUGAAACCGUUAACACUGAUGAAAGUAUUUAGUGGCACAUCAUCUAAAAAAUUAAAACGGAACUUAGAAGAUGAUGUACCGAAAGAUAGCAGUAUUGAAUUUCGAAUCAUAAUUUUUAUUUUUUUUCGAGUCUUGUCAAGUGUAAAAAGUGUAAUAGGGAUGUGAAAAUGUAGACGUUUUCGAAGACAGUGACCACUGCAAUUCAAGAACCACUCGUGGAUUCGAAUGAAAUUUAUACAGCUUUUUGGAAGCAUAAAAAACUAAUACUUGAUCGAAGGAUUUUUGUUUUCGUUGAAAACUUCGAUUUUUUUUUAACAGUAAACUACUGAUUUUCUCCUUGAAAAUUCGGUAACUUUCUUGUUUGAUUGAUUUAAGAUGAACCAGUACAAAGUUAUGAUGGUCACCGCAGAGCACUACUUGUGAAAGGGGGUCCAACAAAAAUGGCAAUAACUUCAUUCAAAAUUAAUUUUUUUUCGAAAAUUUGGUGAAAUCAAGUUAAAGCAUUAUAUAAUAACUCUGUAUUAUUAUUAGGUUUAUAAAAUAAAUUAAAUUUACUGUUUGAACAAAA
rnacentral:lncRNA from 1 species